GGUGCAGACUCCUAUCUGUCUCACUCCGACAGGGAAUGCAGCACUAGCUGCCCGGGUCCUAGCGCCUUCAUGUUACUGCCUGUUCCAGUUCUGACACUGUUGUAAUGUAUGAAAAUCUUCAAUCAAUUUUCACAUAGGAAGAUUCUGCAAAUGAUGCAGUUUGAGGCCUCUGUUGGUCAGGGUCAACCACGGAUGCUGUGUCCUAGUUGUCAUGCUUAAGCCAGGGCAGUACGAAAUGGAGAGCAUCUGUUGCCUAUGGAGGAGGCUCCCCCCUCCACGCAGCCGAUGAAUCUAAAGGAUCGGCCAAGACUGAUACAUUUUGGCACCAGCAGCAUCGCAGAAGUUGCCAGUCAGGGUUAAACAACGUUGGACACCUUUAGGAACCCCAGCUUUGGAUCUUUCCUCAUUGUUUACUCCCGAGGCCUUCCCCACGAGUGGGUAGAAUCGCAAGGCAAUGAAGGUUUGAGGUCAGAGUUGUACUUCUUCUAGAUAAGCUGCCAACCACGACUGACAAGCUUCAUCUGCCUGAAGUGAUUGGUUUUAAGGCUACAGUAACUCGCCUUAGUCUCUUUUUCUGUCAAUAGAAAUAGUUCUGCCGUCCUCAGUAGCUAAGCCACAUGUGAAGGCGAGGAGCUGGACUUGGAGGGUAUUUGAGAUGCACGCCAUUGGGAGCAUUUAAUAGGUAGAGGGAGCUUAUCCUCACUACCACCAACUGCACUCCCCCGCCCCCCCAACCCAGCUAUGACAACUUUAAGGAUCCAACAAUAUAUCAGCAGAUAUUCUGUUCAAGAUUUGGCGGUUAAUGCUACAAAAUGAGGAAAACUUCCUGACAUUCUUUCAACCUACCCAAUGUCUUUUUUCAUGUUAAGGGAACAAGAUCUCGGUUUUCUGAUACAUCUGCAAGAUAGCAGCUUUGAAGUGCAGCACUGAAUAAGGAUUAGGAGCAAACGUUUCUGGCCUGCAAGUUCAUCUCAAAACAAUAAAAGUUAUAGGAAGUCUUGAUCAAAUUGCAAACUGUUUUGGCUACAUCAUAUCUUACAAAUGUAAGUAUGAUGCCUACUAUUAACCAUCAAAUGCAAGAAAUAUUCUCACACACUGGAGGUAGUCCAGAUAAGAGCUGCAAGACUAUUGUUCUCAUCUGAAGAAUGAGUAUAAAGAUUAAGGGCCAGAUUACUGAACAAAACAUUAUAACUGAACGCUUCACAUUUUGGAAAACUUACCUUGUACAUCUGGUCAGUUCAGUCCAGACGAGCUGAUGGAAAUGGGUAAUCACAGUGGCAGUGUGGCUUAUAAAGGAUAAUCAGGAGACUGCUAGAAUCUGGGGGUGCUCAAAGAAACUGAAGGGCUGAGCCAUGGAAGGAGAUGGGCGGUGUUGCAAAAUUAGAAGUGGGGAGGGAAGCUACAUGAGUGGCAGUGCAAUGGAAAACCACUGACUGAGACGCUGAUGGAGACAGAAAUCCUGCCCCACAUUUUCAAAGUUCAUGGAUGAGCACAGGACCAAGGACCAAAGGCUGGACAAUGAACACAAUCUGCUUUGACAGCCAAGGACACGAACAGCUGAACACCACUAUGGGCAGAAGUGGAAUUUGCUCCUGUUAGCCUACUUAGAGAGCUGCCUUGACCUUGUUUUUUGCCAGUGAGUCCAAUCACAACAGAACACUCUACCUUUGAAUCAUGUGGAAGAUUGACUCACAAUUUCAUUGGUUAUGAAUCUGUUUUCCAGGAGCAAUGUUAUGCUGCUUAUCUCUGAUGAGUUCCUUCAGGUUUGAACCAACUCAGUGAUGAGAAGGACCUCCUUGCAAAUGCUCCGCACAUUCAGUUAAUGGGCCAAUCAAAUGUACACUGAAUAAAUGACCCCACUGGUUUUGAUUUGUCAUUUUGUUCACAGUGAUUUAUAACUAACUAAGCAAAUACAGAGUAAGAUUGCUGUGAAGUUGGGUGUUACGUAUCUAAACUGCUGAUUAUCACAUUUGCAGAAAAAGCUCAGUGUUACACGACUGAUUCGUUGAAAGCAUUUAACUGUGUUAGAAAAAUAUACUCAACAGUCUUCAGGGUGCCAGCAUUUCUAUAUACUGGAAUUUUUUAUCUUGGGCCAUCUGCUUAUGACAUCACUAUAACAUCACUAAUGAAUGCACUUUACUUCACAAUCUAUUAAAUAAGAUUCAACAUAAAUAUAUACUCUGUGUUGAUAUUUUCAACAUUAAUUUCUAUGCCAAUAAAUUCUUGCUGGAGAAAAAACAAGUUUAUUCAGAUUGCAACAUUAAUUUUUGUAAAUGUCAACUAACUUGUUAAUUAAUGUUGACUGUCUAAAAUACCUGAGUUAGUUAAAUUGUGCUAAUUGGCAUUUCAUAUUAUUGCUUAUGGUUUUAAGUAGGUUGGUUACCACUGCCUGUUGUAUUUGGAAGUUCUGGAUAUGAUUGGUUAAUGAGAUUCUACAGUAGUAUGGCACUAUGGUGACAAAACUAAUAUACAAAUAUA